rnacentral:rRNA from 1 species
UAGCUAGUUGGUGAGGUAACGGCUUACCAAGGUGACGAUCUGUAGCGGGUCUGAGAGGAUGAUCCGCCACACUGGAACUGAGACACGGUCCAGACUCCUACGGGAGGCAGCAGUGGGGAAUUUUGGACAAUGGGGGCAACCCUGAUCCAGCCAUGCCGCGUGAGUGAAGAAGGCCUUCGGGUUGUAAAGCUCUUUCGGCCGGGAAGAAAUCGCAUGGGCCAAUACCCUGUGUGGAUGACGGUACCGGAAUAAGAAGCACCGGCUAACUACGUGCCAGCAGCCGCGGUAAUACGUAGGGUGCGAGCGUUAAUCGGAAUUACUGGGCGUAAAGCGUGCGCAGGCGGUUUUGUAAGACAGGCGUGAAAUCCCCGGGCUCAACCUGGGAACUGCGUUUGUGACUGCAAGGCUAGAGUACGGCAGAGGGGGGUGGAAUUCCACGUGUAGCAGUGAAAUGCGUAGAGAUGUGGAGGAACACCAAUGGCGAAGGCAGCCCCCUGGGUCGAUACUGACGCUCAUGCACGAAAGCGUGGGUAGCAAACAGGAUUAGAUACCCUGGUAGUCCACGCCCUAAACUAUGUCAACUAGGUGUUGGGUGGGUAAAACCAUUUAGUACCGUAGCUAACGCGUGAAGUUGACCGCCUGGGGAGUACGGCCGCAAGGUUAAAACUCAAAGGAAUUGACGGGGACCCGCACAAGCGGUGGAUGAUGUGGAUUAAUUCGAUGCAACGCGAAAAACCUUACCUACCCUUGACAUGCCAGGAACUUGCCAGAGAUGGCUUGGUGCCCGAAAGGGAGCCUGGACACAGGUGCUGCAUGGCUGUCGUCAGCUCGUGUCGUGAGAUGUUGGGUUAAGUCCCGCAACGAGCGCAACCCUUGUCGUUAAUUGCCAUCAUUUAGUUGGGCACUUUAGCGAGACUGCCGGUGACAAACCGGAGGAAGGUGGGGAUGACGUCAAGUCCUCAUGGCCCUUAUGGGUAGGGCUUCACACGUCAUACAAUGGUCGGUACAAAGGGUCGCCAAGCCGCGAGGUGGAGCCAAUCCCAGAAAGCCGAUCGUAGUCCGGAUUGCAGGCUGCAACUCGCCUGCAUGAAGUCGGAAUCGCUAGUAAUCGUGGAUCAGCAUGUCACGGUGAAUACGUUCCCGGGUCUUGUACACACCGCCCGUCACACCAUGGGAGCGGGUUCCGCCAGAAGUAGGUAGCCUAACCGCAAGGAGGGCGCUUACCACGGCGGGGUUCGUGACUGGGGUGAAGUCGAAACAAGGUAGCCGUAGGGGAACCUGCGGCUG